UACGUAGGGUGCGAGCGUUAAUCGGAAUACUGGGCGUAAAGCGUGCGCAGGCGGCGCGUUAAGACAGGUGUGAAAGCCCCCGAGCUUAACUUGGGAAUUGCGCUUGUGACUGGCGUGCUGGAGUGUGGCAGAGGGAGGUGGAAUUCCACGUGUAGCAGUGAAAUGCGUAGAGAUGUGGAGGAACACCGAUGGCGAAGGCAGCCCUCCUGGGGCCAGCACUGACGCUCAUGCACGAAAGCGUGGGGAGCAAACAGG
rnacentral:rRNA from 1 species